AUUUACUUAAGAUUAGUAUUAGUACUAUUUCUAAAUAUCCAUGUUUAUGUUGCAUACAUACACAUAUAUGACAUAUGUGUGUGUGUUUUUUUUAAGCAUUUGCAAGUUUUCAAAUACAUGCAAAGUAAAGUAAGUAAAGAAAACAAUACUUUUCAAUUAUUAAAUUUAGUAUUAUUAAUUAAUUUUAAUUUUUUACAUUUUUUAUCCUUAUUUUUAUAACAUGAUCAAUUAAAAUGCACUAGAACUUUGUUCUGGUGCAUUUUAAUUGAACUAAGAAUUUUAAUUUAUUAACCUUUUAUUAGAAUUUUAAUUUAUUAACCUAGGUAAAUAAAUUUCCAAUUAAGAGUGUUGAUAGAGUUGCAGCAUUUUUAAAGAAAUAUCAAUGUGUCCCUAAUGUGCUAUUGUUCAGACUGUUGGCGACAUGACACAUGUAUUAAAGUCUUCUGUCACAGUUGACUCAGCAAGAAUGAAGACAUUGAUACACUUUUGCAUUGCAUACACAACACUCAAAAUUAGUAAAACUAAAAUGAGUUAUAAAUUGUCGACAUUUUAAGAUAUGAAAAGAUAUUAUUGUUAAAUUUUGAGUUUGUAAAAUUUAUUUUCAGGUAUAAGAAAUCCUUAUCUGUACGUAACA